CCGAUCCCCUUCCCAACGUCAAGCCCGCCCACGAUCUCCUGUUCCUCUCCAAGUCCCAAACCACCCACCACGCCAGCCCCGCCCGCACCUCCAUCAGGUUUCAUGGCCGGCGCUCUACGGUUCCACUCCCACCAAGCUCCCCACUGCCGCCUCCGGGGAGGAGGGGCACAUCUAGAGGUCAAAAAUCAAUCCCCACCUUUCUCCCAUACAGGAGAAGGUAGAGAACCUUGAAUCGAGGCGAGCAGCGGGCCCGGGUGCCGUCGCUGCCGUCCUCGAUGCAGAAGGAGCGCACACAGGCCUUAUCCAAUCCGCCGUCGUGCCUCCCCGCGCUCCCACGCCACCUCUUCCCACGCGCUGCAUCCCAGGCGCCACACUUGUGGCCUCCCCACCUCUCCACAUGCCCAGCCGGGCCAGCGGCAUUCCAACACUCCGAUUCCUCUUCCAUCCACCUCCAUCGAACGCGGCCGCCUAGGCGCACGAACUGCCUUGCCCCGACGCCGCCACCGCCCUGCCGUCUACACACUGCAGUUCCAUUCAGAAGAAUAAUUUAUGUGAUCUGAUUUGAUUUGUACAAAGAUUUGGUCGAGGCUAACACCCUGCGUACGUACAGGUAAUUUACACUUUCCAAGUUUAUUUGGGUCUAAAAAUUAACAGCGCAGAAAUCUAAAAUUCAUCCCUGGUCAGUUUCUUGUGUAAUAUUUAAGUCAAUUACACAAGCGUGAAUGACUACUAUUUCUUACUUAAGCGUGAAUGACUCCAGAAACUCUGCUAAAAAUGAAGGCCCUUCUUUUAAAUGAUAGCAGCCAACAACUGCCAUAGUUCCAGGACCAAGAACUUCCUACUCAACCAAUAAUGCACUACUUUCAGUUCAUUCUGACUUCUAAGACGUUAACCACCACGAAAAGGAACUUCUCAAGCUUCUUUUUGAGCCAAGUUAAGCAUGGCUGCUUACGGCUAAUUGCAGUUUAGGUAUCUUUCAAUUUUCCAGACAAAGGCAGUAGGAUAUCUAGCAUUUUCAUACGACGUGCUAUGAAUAUGAUUACACUCUACUGACUGUGAAAUUUUCCAUGAAUGUAGUUUUUUUUUUAGCCGAAACCGUAGAACAAUCGUUCUACGGUAUAUUAUAUAUUAAAUAAUGUAAAGUAUAUUUACAAAAGGCUAAAUAGCUAAAUUUUCCAUGAAUGUAGUUCUUGCAUCAUUUCUAAAACUCUGUAAGUUCCGAUUGAAACUAUAGCAAUCUGUUGACACGAGGUUCAGAAAAGAGUGAGAAAUUUAUUUGUAAGUAUUUUUUAUUGAGAUAUAAACUUACUGGGUAGUUUGCAAAAUUUAACCUGGGAUUAUAGUUUGAAUUUUUUAAAUAUACAACCAGCAAUCUGAGAUCAAUGCUUCUACGCAGGCAAUCUAGAUGUGCCAGCAAAAUUUCUUUGCAAGCUCAUACAGAAGCUUAAAGACAUGCCUGCUAAUUUGGGAUGUUGUGGUGUUAAAUGACCUAAAUCUUGCUUGAUAUAUCAUAAUCAUAUAAUCUACUACCCCUAUAAAAGCACGAAAGGGCGGAGAACCAAAUCAUCUCAACCAUCAAACUAUGCUGAUCUGAUGGUUCAAAUCGUCUCAUAGAUCAAACGCGUUUGACACUGUAAUUACCCACCACUGCCAUUGGUCAUAAACUCAUAACUACGUUUAGCACCUACGAGAAAAAAGGCCUGCAGAACACGUCAUGAUUCCUCCCCCACCAUCACGACUGCCCACGAUCUCCCGUUCGUCUCCCACCAGCCCCUUCCCGCACCUUCUCUUCCGCUUGCGUGCUCUUGCCAGGCCGAAACCUCCCACAUGGUCUUUAUGGCCGCCGCGGCCAAAUCUUCAGCUACAUCCCCUUGCAUAACUGAACGGCUUCCGCGAUCCGCGACACCCUCACAUGAGGCGCUCUCCCCGCCGCCACCACGACGAACUCAUUGGCGCGCUCUUCGCCGGAGCGGCGUGCGCUGGAAGCCGGAGCAGGGAAGGAGUGCGGCCACCAGUGGGGGAGACUACAAGGGGAGGCAUGGUAGUGCUCUCUCUGUCGCCGGAGGGAAAGAGCCAAGGGAAGCGGCGUCCUACGAGAUGUACCGUCUGGCCGGAUAGGACGCGCGGCAGGGAAGGCAGCGACCAGAUACCGGCACGGGUGAGGCCUGGUUGCCAUGCAGUGCCCAUGGUGGUUACAUCCAGGCCACGCAUGGGAGUCGCCAUGGCGGCGGCGUGGUGCUGACGCGGGAAGGAGGCACGGGGCGGCACGUCAUCCAAGGUAGUACAAAUUUAUCUGUUCUAAAUUGUUUUGCUGUGUGAUAUGUGUGGAUUAGAGGAACGUCCUCUAAUUGAUCGAUGUGCCUGACGCUGGAGAUCCAAAGGGUAUGGUUUUGUCAAGUUCUCUUUGGAAAGCGAAGCAGCCACGGCGUUGGAGAAAAUGAGUGGUGAGGUGCUUGAUGGAAGGAAUAUAUGGGUGCAUUAUGCCUGAUUCUGCUGCUUCUCCUGCUGCUAUAGAUGUGUAAGGCACUUAUUCGGAAUAUGUAAUGUUAGAUGUACGCAUGGAGCCUUGAACAUGUACUAUGUAUACCUGCAGAGAGAUUUAUGGUAACAACAGAGUAAUUUAUUUGGAAGCAAUUGUUACUGAGGUAGAGUCUUUCUGGGUAGUUUGCCGCAAGUAUUAAACUUAUGAUUUUAGUUUGAGAUACAACCAGAAAUCUGAAACCAAUACUUCUUCUCAGGCAAUCUAGAUGUGUUAUAAAAUUUAUUUUGGAAAGCUUGUACAGAAGGUUAACAAUAUGCCUUCUACUUUUGGAUAUUGUGGUGUUAAAUGACCACUUCAUAAAUCAUAAUCUGAGGUGGUGUUCAUUCAACCAAAGGCAAAGAAUAUUAUUACAAAAAACGGUGUGAGCAAGCAAAUUCACUUCAUACCAAAACUUGAUAAGCCAUGUGGGUGACACUAGGAGGCGUUGUACUGCUCGAUAGCCUGCCACAGUCCACAGGCAUAGAGCCAAAGUUGUGAGUGGGCGGUCUUUGGUCUAAGGUUUUUUAAAUGCAUUAAAAUUUAUGUUUGUUUGUAACCUGAAUCUUGCAGAUGGUUUCUGGGCUGUAGCUACAAAAAACAAUUCAUCGUACGGCGGUAACACAAUAAGGUUCAGUUGUGUGUUCAUAUUAAUUAAAAAAAAUGUACAUAUGAACCGACUGCAUCAGUUGUUUUGCUUCUCCUAUUCCCUUGAAAGGAUUGCUUGAUGGAAAGAUGUUUUUGCUUUUGCAGCCUUAUUUCUUAUGUAAUUUUUGCAGUGGUGCUUAUGUACAGUUGAUGAAUGAAAGGUAUGACCAAGUAGGCUGAUGUCAAAAGCUUUACAGAUCAGGGCAUAAUUGAUACUGAUUUCAUAUCUUGAAGUUUUUUUAUUCCUGUAACGAAAAUAUUGCUAAUGCUUUGAGUACCCCCCCCCCCCCCCUGGUUGUAGAGCAAGGGCUCGCUUCCUUAUAUUUUCAAUGCAUACUUUGAAUUUUUGUUUUUCCUCUUUGGGUUGCCCUUAAUGAUCACCGCUAAGUUUGCUUUGCAUUUUGCGAAAGCACAUGAAAAUGCAGGUUUUGCUUGAUGAAUUGGUUAACUUAGCACCCAUGGACUCGAGCUGAAAGGAAGUAGCCUUGUAAGGACCCAAGCCAUGCAAGAUACAAAUAAUUGUUGACUUGGCAUUAUCUCUUUCUUCAUGGUGUUUCGAUUGUGCAAUUGUGUUGUUAAUUUGGUUUAACAGCUUCAAAGGGCACUGAGAAUGAACUUUGAAUUCUACAAAAAUCACUGCUACCUUGCGACCAUAAUUUACCUUCAGAGCUCAGGAGGUGGCGUCAUCACCGUUCCUGCCGCCCUCCGGCUGGGCCGUCGAGGACCUCCUACAGUUCUCCUACGUGCACCGUCGAGGGCACUGAAGGUCUAUCACAAAUCAAUCAGGUGAACCUUUAAUUCAAUCGGUGGUAUUCUUUGGUUUGCAUGACUAAUACUGCACCUUUGGUACUUGGUGGUGGAUCUGAACUUUUUGAUCUGCAAUUUCAUCUACUAACCAAUCUUCCUCUGAUACAUAGUACUAGAAACAUUUUUUGGGACAGGAAGAAAUUGCUAUUCCGGAGUUUACUUAAUCAUUUGAAAAUUCCUUUGGGAAAUACAAGUGAACUGGAGCCUGAAACUUAUUCUCAUAUAUAGAUAUAGGAGGAAAUGGGACUGAUGUAAGAAUGUGUUUGUUUAGACCUGUAUACUUACGAGGAGGUUCAUAUUUAGACCAAGAUUAGAAUUUGACUACAUGCCUAAGUUUGGCUGGUUGAGAAAUUAGAAUUCAUUGUCCCUCAUAAAGUUUAUGUUUAGUGGGUGCACGCGCAUUAGAGAUUAAAUAUGAACCCUGGGGCUUCCAGCAAUCUAGAAUUGUAGUGUUCGGAUUAUCUUAGGUUGCCGAUUACUGUACUGAAAAUGUGUAAUUAGAUAUGACAUGUACAUAAGAAUUGUGCAGCAAUCUUGUCUUACAAAGUAGGAUCAAGAGGGAUACUAAAGAAAUGAAGAUGCAGAGUCUCUGUUUCCUAGGAUUACUUCUCAUGUUCAUGUCGGCUUCCUUGGCUUUACUUCAUACCACCAGAUGCAUUAAACUGGACCGUAUCAAGAGGUAAGGCUACCCCCUUGAUUAGAAUUGCCUUAUUUGUGCUAUUUGGUCAGUGUGUGUUUUAUGUAUGAUGAUGUCACGUAGCCUGGAAUAAAGUUGGGUUGUGCCUGCCUAGGCACUAGCUCCAGUGAUAUAGGUUGGAAAUCAGAAUAUAUGCUUGAUUCUUAGAGAAAACUUUACACGCAGACUUCGUGGGCUCAUGUGUUGUUUCAACAUAAUUGCAUAGCAAUCCAGUGAAUUAUGUAAGAUCCAGUAGGAGGUAUUGUAGAUGUACUACUAUUUCAGUUGCAUGAUUCUAUACAUCUAAAAAGGGUAUAGAGAUUCUGUAACUGUUGUUAGAGAAUAUAUCUCGCUGCUGCUCUGUAAAUGUGUGUAAUCUCUACUGCGUUCCAAUAAAGAGAAUUUUACCAUGCAGAGGGAUCCAAUGAAGAAACUAAUCCUGCUGAGUUCCAAUAAAUAAAUCCUUCGGAGGAUCUGCUCUAAUACAGCUGUCGUGUAUUGGAACAGAGAAAUCAUAUAAACUAGAUUCAGUCGGAUUUAUUUUAUUUCAUGACAGAGAAAUCAUAUACCUUUUGCUAUUUUGGCACAUACAUUUAUUCUUAUUUACUUGUGCAGUUUGGAAUGAUCCAACAUAUCUGAAGUUAUCAAACAAGAAUACUUACUAUUUAAGGCCUUAUUUGCAGGUUAUUUGCACCGCCUCUCUUUCUUUGUAUACACGUCUCUUUCCUCCAACAAUAAUAGUGAACAACUUUUUUCGGAUCAGGUAUUACAUUGCUACAAAUAUAUGCGGAAGCUACUCCUUACAACAAGGAAAAAGAGGAUGAAUGCUUUCUAUCUUCACCAGUUUUGUAGCAUGUUCCAAAUUGUUAUCUCUUUCCUAUGGAAAUUCUGAAACUAAAUGAGUUGGCCUAGAAUUAUGAAUCUGUGUUCAAGCUUGCUUA